GGCUCAUUGCCUCUACUCCCCAAUGGUUAUCAAAUUAAGAUACAUAUGCCUGAGCCAGACCAUUAUUUACAUACCCAACAAUCCAAGGAAGAUUCAAUUUUAAACAGCAUCAUGAUAAGUACUACAAUUAGUUUGGUUCAACUUCUUGAGAGCAGCAGUUAGCAUUGUUACAUUAAGUUCAAGCAUCAUUUAGUAAUUCAGAGUAUGGUGUAAUCAGUGAGCAAACAACAGAAUGAAGAAACAACACGGCAUGUCAUUAAAAUAUUCUACUACUUCUAUUUCUAUUUCUAUUUAUUUUGGUCGUUACAAUCUGCGUAACCGGAGAAGAUGCGAGUUUUUGAACCCAAAAUUUGACGUCCUCUUUCCCCAACCUGGAACUCAAAAUCAAAACAAUCCCAAAGAAAAACCCUAAAAGCCAUUCCCUGACGGCUUUCUUCCCCAACCACAACCGAAGCAACGAAAUCCCCGCGAGACAAAACGACAAGGCCCUCAGAAACAGGUCAAACUCUCGAAUCCUCCACGACCACAAGCCACCCGCAACGCAGACCAACACGAAUGCAAACCACGCCGAUUUCUUCUUCGUCAGCCUCCUGUUGGCGGUUAUUUUCCCUCUCCGGCCACCGACGAGAAGGCUCAGAGUCUGGCAAUCGCCGCGCGCGAUUUCGCCGGCGAGGGAGUUGAAGGGCUCCGGCAGGAUCUUGAGAUUGAACGCGACGGUGGAAGCCAGUUGAAGAAUUUUCCGAUUGGAUGGUUGGGACCAGCCGCCGCGCCUCUUAGCGCAGAGGAUUGUGGGAGUUGGAUGAGAUUGCGAAAGGCGAAGAGAAAUAGGAUUGAGGAAGCGAGAAUAGAUGUGGAUUACGGAGAUUGGGAAUGGAAGGGGGUGAUCUGAAAUUGAGAAGGGGUAUUGGGUUGUGCAAAUGUAGGGUUUCACUUUCAACAUUGUGGGGAGUGGUGAGUGGUGACCGUUACAACAGAAGCAAGUUAUAUUUGGAAUGCAUUUGAGCGGAUGGGCCUGCUUCUUCAAUCACACCACCCUCAAUUACUAUUCUAAUUUACUCCUUCCUACCCCAUAAACGGAUUCUCUUCAAAAAAAUUUAUUAUUUAAAAGACUUAACUAUAUUUUUUUUACUAUAUUUUCAAACUUUUAUUUUUGAUAUAUGUCGUUAGUUUGUUAUAUCAUCUUUUAUCUGAAAAGUUAUAAAAAUGUCAUAUAGUAAAAUCAAAAAACUAUUUCUUAGAUAAUAAAUUGAAAAAAAUAUAGUACAGAUAUUAAAAUCAAAAAAAUAUUUCUUAGAUAAUAAAUUGAAAAAAAAAUAUAUUACAGAUAUUAAAAAAUAUAUUUAAGUUUAUUUAAAAUAUUAAAUAUGUACUUUUUAGUUUUAAAGUUGUAAAAGUAAAAGUCAUUUUUUUCAUCAAGUGCUUGCAAUUUUUUUUAACAAUAACGUUAUAAUAAGUGAAUAGUGAUCGUUGUUUCUAGGAUGCUCCCUCCUCUUGAUUGAGCUUGGUUGAGUUUUUUUGCGUUUGAUCUCAUUAUUUUUUUUUGAAUAAUUUUAAAUAUUCCUAAUAAUCUUUGUAUUUGUUAAAUAAAAAUCAAAUGCUUUAUAUGAUUUUAAAAUUUUAAAUACAAGUAGUAUUUUUAUUUAAAAUUUUCUGUAUUUAAAAUAAAUAUUAGGAAAACUUGUAAAACAAAUAUAACAUUUUUCUGUCUUUCUCACAAACCUACAACACAUAGAGCAUUAAAAAAGGUGACAAGCUAGAACAAGUAUCCUGACCGCACAAUCUUGAGGCUAGAAUGAGUUUGAGUUUUGUAGGUUGGGAAUUGGGAUGCGUUAUUAAUUUGAUACAAGCCGCAGGAAACACCUUCUUAAUUGAUGAUGAAGAAGUGUGGUUUUGUAUUUCUCAAUAAGUGGAUGAGAUACAAUGUUGACUAUCUGCUAACCACAUUCCCUCCUUAUCUGUCGUCUACUCUCAAACUCCCCAAUAUUCCAAUUGUUAAAUGAUCUAAAGUGACACCAGAUUGCAAGAGGCCAACAAAUUCACUUCAAUGUCAUAAACACUGCAAUUACAAAUGCACAAACAGCAUUGAUCACAUUAUUAAUUAAGGAACGAUGACACCUUCUACUCUUAAUCUAAUACAGUAAGUAAUAAAUGAAAAGCAGGACAUGUAUGUACACUUUUUGUCUAUAUAUUCUCCACAAUCCAUACUGAACCUCUUCAUAUAAUUUCCACCACUAGUACUGAAUCUCUUUAAGCUAGCUAGGAAAUAUGAAGAAGGGGUUUCAGUUUGCAGGGUAUGAUAAAGCCACCAUAGGAACUAUAACUCUUGACUGUCAAAGUCCCUAUGGAGAGAAGCGUAACCGAUGUGCCCUUCUACCACCUAAUGUUCCUAUUCUUGCUCAUUCCUUAGAACGUACACAACGAAACUGGUAAAUAUAUGGCUCCUUAUUUUUUUCUUGCAUCAGGAUUUUCGAUCUUUUUGUCUUGGGAAAGCCUACGGGAUUUUUAGAUUAAUAGAUUUGGUUCCAUCAAGUGAUAGAUUUAUACUACUGUUCUGAAAGUUAAAGUAUACUACUUAUAAUAAUCAUUCAUCAGAAAAUUAAUUAUUAAAAUUAUACACACUUGCUUUUGUUCAUAUUAUACACUUACUUUUGUUCAUAUUAUUAUUAUAAGAUUCAAUUAACUAAAGAAAUUGAUUAAUUUUAUUAAGAGCAUUUAAUUUGUUCUAAAUUAGUAUUUUUUUUAAAUUAUCCUUGUAAACAAAAUUAAUAAGAGUAAAUUACACCUAUAUCUAUCUUUCUGUAUUUUUUUAAUUACACUCUAACACUCUUCAUUUUUUUACACCGUACAUAAAAUUUCUUAAUUGUUUAUCUUACAUUACAUUAGAACUCCUCUCUUCUAAAUAUCAUUUAAUAAUUGAAUAGAAAGUAGACACGUACUAGUCACGUGACUUACUUUUAGUAAAAAUUUGUCUAAAAUAUUAUCAUUUUCUUUCUAAAAUGCUGGUUGACUUUCUCAAUUAUGCAUGUGAGUUGACUCGUUUAUUUGAUGCAGGAUUGCUAGGUCAAAUUCCCCUACUGAUAUAAUUAUACAAGUUGGUGAUUCUAGCUUUCACUUGCACAAGGUGGGCCAAUCACUCCUUUAAUUCUAUGGGAAAAUUGUAUAUUUACUCUUGAUCCUCUUGUUCCUAUAGCUGCAAAUCAUGCUACUAUUCUAAAGUAAAAAAUGUUUCAUUAAAUAUUCUUAAAAUUCUAACUGCGUAAGAUGUGGUUGAUUUCCAGCUUGCAAUUGCCUCAAGAAGCGAAUAUUUGAACCGGCUUGUAUUUCAGAGGGGAAGCAACAGAGAAAAAGCUGGUGACAGCCUCAUCAUCCAAAUGAAAAAUCUUCCAGGUGGUAAAAAAACUUUUGAAUUAGUAGUCAAAUUCUGUUAUGGAAGAAAAAUUGAUAUUACCGCAGCCAACAUUGUUCCAUUGUAUUGUGCUGCACAUUUCUUGGAAAUGAGUGAAGAUGUUGAAGAAGGAAAUCUCAUAUCCAAAACAGAAUCAUUUCUAACCUUUCUAAUACUAUCUUCAUGGAAAGACACAUUUCGAAUACUUAAAAGCAGUGAAUCCAUUUCCCCUUGGGCCAAGGACUUACAUAUAGUGAAACGCUGCUCAGAAGCAAUAGCCUGGAAACUGUGCACAAAUCCAAAUGCAUCUAGUUUCACUUGUGAAAGUGAAACACCCUUAAGUAAUAAUAGUGUUGAUAAUUGGUGGUUCGAAGAUGUAUCAUGUCUACGUAUAGAUCAUUUUAUUGAAGUGAUUCAAUCAAUUAGAAAACGAGGAACCAAACCUGAGCUUGUAGGUUCUUGCAUAGAACAUUGGACAAGAAAAUGGUUUUCCCAAGUCACAUUUGGACUUGAUAAGGAGACUCCUAUACCCAUAACUCUCCAGUUGCAUAGAAUUUCAACUGAGUGCUUGAUUAGCAUACUUCCUAGUGAAGAAAAUUCAGUUACUUGCAAUUUUUUGCUUCACCUAAUAAAGGCAGGGGUGAUGCUGAAGAUAAAUUCUGAGUUGUUGUGUGUGCUAGAAAGAAGGGUUGCUUUAAUGUUGGAGAAAUGUCGUGUUCCUGAUCUCUUGGUUAAAAAUCAAGGAGAUAAAGAUUCUUUGUAUGAUGUUAGUGUGGUACUUAGGGUGUUACGGUUUUAUGUCUGUGGCAUGUCAAGUAAUCAAUCAGCAAAACCCCACAGUGUUGGAAGGUUAGUUGAUGGGUAUCUCACACAAGUUGCACGGGAUGAGAAUCUCACAAUGGAGAGUUUCAAAUCACUUGUUGAAGCAUUGCCUCAAAAAGCCAGACACUGUGAUGACAACCUCUAUAGAGCCAUUGACAUGUACCUUAAGGUAAUAGUGAUGUUAUAUCAUUUCUAAUUCUAAAUCUAACUCUAAAUAUUAACUUUAAUAGAUUGGUCAUCUUGUUUUGCAUAACUCUUAGACUUAAUCCAAUUUUGCAGGCACAUCCAAAUUUGGCAGAAGAAGAUAGAACAGAUGCUUGUAGAGUCCUAGAAUACCAUAGAUUGUCGCACGAAGCACGUCAGCAUGUGAUGCAAAACGAUAGGUUGCCAUUGAAAUUAACUACAGAGUUUGUCCUUUUAGAGCAAGUGAACAUGGCAACCUCAAUGACAAGUAAUGGAUCAAACUACCGAAGGACAAAUGCUCAGACAAUCAUCAGAGUGAACAAGGAUAUGGAAAAAAGACAAAUAACAAAUGCCCAGGAGAUAAGCAUGAUGAAAAAAGACGUUGAAAUGAUAAAGUCACAACUAUUGGAAGUAUAUAGCUGCAAAAUGAAGCUCCAAAACCAACUGAAGAGAUGUAUUCGUUGAAAGAGAGUUAGUUCAUUAUGUAAAAACUCUUGUGUAGUAGGAUCUUCCCUCCUUACUGUGAUAGUAAUGUAAGAAAUUUGAACGAAAUAGCUAUCUGCCUCCUAUCCUAUUGAAACAGAAUUGUUUAAAAUAUGUCAUAUGUCUCAUUUAACUAGUCCUCCUCCGGUUAAACUACUUACCACUGCAUUUCAACCCCAUCCCUUUAUCAUGUACCGGGUAAUAAGUCUCAACUCUUAAGUCAAACUAAUGAAACUAUGGACAUUUAAAUGGCAAUAUUUAAAUUUGAGGAAACGAUUUACAUUUAUAGUUGUAAAUGAGUUUUCAUUCAAUAUAACCUUUUUAAUUAAAUGAAUGGGUAAAAUUAUUUUAUAUUACCAAUACAAAUAUAUUAUACUAACAUGAACUGAAUAUUAUUCAACAUAAGUAAAACAACUGAGUAUGUUGUAAGUAUGCUAAAAGUUUUAACUUCUAAUUAAGUGUUUCAUUUUAAUUUUUCAUAAGGAUAAUUAGAUGGAAUAACAUAAAUGAAAAAUAAAAAAUCAUAUACAAGUUUUAAAAUAAUGAUUAAAAAUCAAUUAUCAUUAGAUAAUACUCCAAUAAUUAAGUAUUCGUACCUGUUAUAAAACCUGAAGUGCAUGUAUAUAUAUAAAUCUGAAGGGUGACGCAGCAGAGGGAAAAUAAGCCUGGAAACGAUGGAAGAUGAUGACGCAGCGAUUGAGGUGAGGAACCAUGUUUCCCCAGAGCCAGAGGUGGAGGAUUCCAGUUGCUGUUGCCCAAUUUGCUUGGGACCAUUCCUUCAACUUUCCUACCUCGACAAAUGUUUUCGUAUGCCCUCACCCUAUUUUCUGUGUUUCUUAAUCGUAAAGUUUAUAAGUUUGUUGCAUAUGCUAUAGACCCUUUAUUGGGUUUCAUUCAUGAUUUGGGUUGGAUGCUCUAAGUUGUAGUCUUGGGAAACCUUUUAGUUUGAAAGUAACUUUCGGUAAUUAUAUAUCAAGACAAGAUUUGUUUUAUUAGGAUCAUUACUUGAGAGUUCAGAUUUAAGCAGCAACUAGAGGUAGGUAAAUGUACCAUAUCAUUCAUGCUGCUAUAUGUUUUUCCUAGUAACCGUUAAGCUUGUUCUUCUGUUGCAGAUAAGUUUUGCUUCAAUUGCAUUUUACGCUGGACCAAGGUGGUUGCUAGCAAGCACCGUUCUCCACCUUCUUCUGUAAAAUGCCCCCUCUGUAAGGUUUGGUUAACACCAUGACUUUUUCUUUUUUUUCGCAUUGUUAAUUUUUUAAUUGUUAUUAUUAUUGUUGUUGUUGUUUUGCCACAUGGACUUUGUUGAAAUAUAAAAUUUCCCCUCAAUGAUACACCCCUUUAAAACAAUUUCAAUUAUGACUCUCUUAAGUUCUCUCAAUUUACUGCUCCCAUCUGAAUGUUUCUUAUGGAUGUCAAUAUUUGCAAAACAGUAAGGGUGAUGAUGAUUUAUGAUAAAUCAACUGGGGGAAUGGCAGUAGAAAUUAGUAUCAAGCUGGAUAAAUGAGCUACUGACUUCGUAGUUUAUGUCUAAUUUGCAGACCGAAAAUUUUUCUAUCAUAUAUGUAGUUGAUGGGAGUUGUUUUCAACGUCAUUAUGUAAAUCAAGAUUUUGAGAAUAGGUUUGUCUCAGUUUUAUUUAAGUUAAAAUUUUCAGUAGAAUUAUCUUUUUAUACUUUGCUCUUUUGUUUGUGUGUGCAGUUUUAUCUUAUCAAGAGCUCACAGAUAUAGAGUACAAUGCUAUUACACUGAACAAGGUGUUCUACUGCCUUCCGUUUAACAAAUUUCUUGCUUUAUAGUGGCGUCUGCCUGUCCUGUCCUUUGCUUUGUGUCAAAUAUUUGUUAUUGGUAUUUUAUUUACUUUACUUUUUUCUUUUAACUUUGUGUGAGCAGGUUUUGUAGAUGACAUAUUCAAUAUAUCACAAUAUUGGAGAUCUCAAAAGUACUAUCAGCCAAACUGCUGGCUUCAAAGUUGGUUAAGAAGAGAAAUUCAAGCUCUUAUCCAGGUUAGUGAAUUUAUCAGGUUAGUUGCUGUUUGGUGCAUUAUCUCUCAGGUUUUGCAACUGGAAAAAUAUCCAAUAACAUAAUGUGCUUUAUCUGUUACUGUAUAUUGAUUCACAUUUUCUUUAGUGCUACUGUAUGUAUGUAUGUGUGUGCCUAAUUAUAGGUGGAAUUUCUGAUUAUUCCAUCUCCUGCUCUCUCUCUCUCUUAAUUAGUAUAUCUUUUGCUGAAUCUGUAGGAGGAGGAUGUUGACAUCAUUGUGCACCAUAUCCUUGCUGUGGUCAAAGCAGCAUUAUGGACUAGGUAAGUUUCUUCAUGCAUUUCAAGUUGCCUUAACAUAAUGAGUAUGAAAAGGAUGGUUACUAUUAACUCUCAAACUUGCAGGAGAGAGCAGAAGUCACACAUGAAUGCACCUGAAAAGAAACAGGAGGAGUUCAAGAUGCCAGUCUCUGAAGCCGCAAGGCCUUUUCUGGCAGCAAGAACGGACAGAUUUAUAUAUGAGAUUCAACUAUUUCUUGCUUCAGGAAUGAAUAUUGAAGCUUAUGAUGCUGUUUACAUACAACGGUUAGGUUGGAGCUCACCUGGGGUAAACACUGAGGUUUCUCAAAGUGAAUUAGUUGAUCGUGCAACUGUGAUUCCAUACCUGUACCUAUUUGAUGGUGACUUUGAUGAAAAUGAGUAAAUUCUUUGUGCUGGUUUUCUCAUGUAUUUGCUUUAAUUGCUACCCGAGUAGCAUUGGAGAAAUUUCUUCACACAUCAAUGAGUGCUAUUGAUCCUUUCCGGUUACUGCAGAAGGUGCAAAUUCUCCACCCAAGGGUGUAAAGUUGUUUAACAUAUGUUUGUUUGUUUUUAAAAUAAUUUCAUGGUCUAGAUUUUAUGCAAUUGUGACAACACGGCAGAGGAUCCUUUUCAACGUUAAUAGCCUGAUUAUUUAAGCUCUUAUACAUUUGCCCACUUUCAAAAAUAAAUAAAUAAACAAAGCAUUUUCUCAUUUUUUUUUUUAAUUUGAUUUAAUGUAUCACAUAUUGUGUGAUCCAAUAGAGUUUCAAACUUGUAAUCGUAUUUGUCUCCACGACACAGCAUAAAUAAAUAAAACAAAAAAGAAGAAAAGCUGACUGCUGGAAACACCGGAAAACAACAGCAAAUGAUACUCCGGAUAGGAGUAAAUAAAUUAAUAAAUGACGAAUGAAGGAUGCGAGAAAUUUAAAAUGAAGUGAAUAAAAUCCGUUGGUUGGAGAGAAAACUCACUGUUGGAAAAACUAAGAAAAAGGGUGGACGAUAGAAGAGAAGUAAAACAUGCGAAAAAUGAAAAAUAAAAUAAAAUGGUUGAAGAUAAGACAAUAAGAUUGUCGGACAAGCUUAAAAGCAGCAAAAGUAGAAAAGGAGUAAAAAAAAAAAAUGAAUGAAAGAAUGUUAUGAAAAUUGAAAAAUAAAAUAUAAUAUAUAGUUGGUUCGUAGAAGUGUAGAACACAAAUUUGACAGGGUGUUGUGUGAGUGAUAUUUGGAUUGGCCAAUCAAAGUUUGAAGUUAGCCUUAUCUUUUUCUUUUAAGUAUCUUAUGGGUAAAAUAAAUUACUGUGAAAUUUAUACUGAAAUGAGUUACUCUUCAAUCAUUGAUAUUUCUAUUAGCAUCAUCAUCCAUUAGUGGUUUGAAAACGUUAGACAGGAGCUUUACAACAGGCAUGGAGACAGCCUCAGACUAUGGAGCAUUCAUGGAGAAAUUCACUUUACCACCAAAUUCUGCACCCUCUCUUCCUCUUAAUUCACUCACCUUUGCAGUCAAAGAGAUGUAUGUACUUUUCUUUUUGCACCACAAUAUUCUGAUUGUUUCAAAAUUCUCCUUUGCUGACCUCAAAGUCAGUUAGACUUUGAAUCCAUGCUUAUGCACCUUGAACUUGAAGGAAGUGUUUGUGUCAAACAGUUUUGACGUGGAAGGAUAUGUGACCGGUUUCGGUAAUCCUGACUGGGCAAGGACUCAUACAGUGGCUACCUCUACUGCUCCAACAGUUUUGGCUCUCCUCAGAGCAGGUGCCACUUGUGUUGGUAAAACUGUCAUGGAUGAAAUGGCUUACAGGUUUGGUUUUCUUUGCUCAUUUUUUUCACUCAUUUAAAGAACCAUGAAGUUUUUUCUAUAGUCCUAACUCCUAAGCAUUAUUUUUAAGUUUCUAGGGACCAUCUUUAUGACUAAAUGAAAUUUAAUGUGAAAACGGAAAAAGAGUGAUAAUAUAUUACUAUGAUCAUUGUCAUGUAAAUUGUGGCUUGUUAGGCUAAAUCUUAUAGUUGGAAGUAAUAUAACUUUCGUAACUUUCAGUCAGUCAGUAGAUUAUAUGGAAAUGACAAGGCUCCUCAAUGAUUAUUUUGUCUCUAUAAAGUAUUUGCGUAAGGGUGUAUCUACCCUUAAAAUUUAGUGUGUUAAGACCACGAUGCAGUUUAAUAAUUAAAUGGAUACUUGCUCAGUUUAGCUCACUUUGGUGGAGCUCUCUCUACGGAAAAUGUGACUAUGAGCAUUAGUAUUUAUUUGUAGUCAGACAUGUGCAUAUUUUGAAUACCUUAUUUCUAUUCCUCACAUAACGAAGUAUUAUAAUCUGGCAGUAUAAAUGGAGAGAAUAUACAUUAUGGAACACCUAGAAAUCCUUGUGCACCUGACCGGGUUCCUGGAGGAUCUUCUAGUGGCUCUGCUGUUGCAGUUGGUGCUGAGCUUGUGGACUUCUCAUUAGGUGAUCUAUUGUUCCAUUCCAUUAGUUAUUUUUGGCACCACUUUGUUAAUAAUUUCGAGUCAUGUUAUGUUUUUCCUUAAUAUUGAGCUAUUUUCCCAUUCCAAUGAGUUUAAUUUUGGCAUCACUUUGUUAAUAAUUUGAACUGUUUUUUCAAUCUUAGGAACCGAUACUGGAGGAAGUGUAAGAGUGCCUGCAUCAUACUGUGGGAUUUUUGGUUUUCGCCCUUCUCAUGGUGCUAUCUCAGAAUCAGGAGUUAUCCCUAUGUCGCAAAGUUUUGACACCGUGGGUAAAUAAUCCAUUACCUUGACGACUAUGUUAACUCUUCAUUUUUGGGUGAAUGCAUCACUACAAAGGAUAGUGCAUAACACAAACACAUCAAUAUGUAAAUAUUUAUCUUCACGGUUCUAAUGUGCUUCCAUUUCAUGUUUUUCUCUAGUUAUCUGGUUAAAAAGGUAUUUAUGAUCUUUAGCAAGAUACGGUUUGCUAUGAAUUUUUCUCCAAAUUUUAGGUCUGAAUUUUCCCUUUGUAGAUUUCAUCUCCUAGUGGUAUGUUGUACAAGUAGUGGUCUUAAAAUUAUAGCUCCACAAGCUGUUGAGAGCCCUUCUUCUCUAGACUUAUUUUCUUGUUUCCAUUUUUAUAUCUAGGAUGGUUUGCCAGGGAUCCAAUGAUUUUGAGCAGAGUAGGAGGUGUAAUUCUACAAUUGCCAGAUGUAGCACCACCAAUUAGACCUACUUGCAUUAUCAUUGCAGAGGACUGUUUCCAGCUUUCGAGCACUCCAUUUGAUGUAGUUACAGGAACUGUCAUCCAAGCGGUAGAGAAGUUAUAUGGAGGUGAACAGUUGAUGUUGCUACCAAUUCAAUGUUCUUGUUUGUUAAUUAUAAAAACAAAAGAUUUCAAGAUUUAAGUUCUAAAUUGUGAAGAAUUCUUGUUCAUCCUAAUAAUGAUGUAUGAUAUGUAUUUUGGAACAAUUUGAUUUUACCAAGUGAGAAGGUCUUAUUGUUGCAUCCACCAUUGUAGGGGAUGUAUUGAAGCAUGAAAUCCUUGGAGACUAUGUGAAGACCAAUGUUCCAAGUUUGAAACAUUUCAUGAGUAAAGAGAAUACAGACCAAAUAUAUAGCAUUCCAUCACUGGCUGCACUUUCAAGUGCCAUGCGGUUGCUUCAAAGGUGUAGCUCACCAUUUAAUCCCUAGCUUUCAGGAAAGAUAAUUGUAAUUUUCUAGCAGGUCGUGUAUUGCCUUCAAUUAAAAUGUGAUUCUUGCUUUAUUUAUCAUUUGUAAUGUAGGUAUGAAUUCAAGAAUAAUCAUGGUGAAUGGAUCAGUGCAGUUAAACCAGAUUUAGGUCCUGGAAUAUCAGAACGUGUAUCAGAUGCCUUAAGGACAACAGGGGAGAACAUUGAUAUCUGUUAUUCUAUAAAAAAGGAACUACACGAUGCUCUUGCGGCUCUUCUUGGGGUAUUCUUUCUCUCUCACGUAUAAGGCAUGCACACAGACCAUAGUACAAUCUUUGAAAUCCCCAUAACCUACUGAUAAACAACAUAUUUCAACAGACAAACAUAUUAUUAUAGUGAUAUGUUCAUCAGACCAUGUAUAUGUGCGUAUAUGCACAAAUCAUUCCUCCUGACUUAGAUUCUCUCCUUGGUCUUCAUAAAAGGAAACCUCCUAUAUUUCUGGCCAUGGAGAAAUAAUGUGCAGACAUGCUUGUUACUUAUCAUAUAUCAAUCUUACUUUUGAAGAAACUAUUUGAGACCCUUCUGGUUUGUAUCAACAAGAAUCACACACGAGUAGAUUUGAUACAAUCAAAACCUCUAGUAAAAUACCCAUCCAUAACCCAGCAGGCAGAUAAAGUACAUUAAAUAAUCCGUUUUAGGGGAUCUUUCCAAACUGGCACCAGACUUUCCAAACUGGAAUGUCUAUUAUUGAUAUAGGGGAUCUUUCAACUUACAUUUCAGCAAGCCUUUUCAUUUGUCAAAAGUAACAACUACACUGUACUUUUAUUUUUCAUCAUCUAGCUUGACUAUGCUUGUUUUCGAAACAAUCUAAUUCCACAAAUGAAGAUUAUAGAUUCUCCCUAUGAAUCUCCUUUGUAAAGAUAAAAGUAGUAUCAUCACUAAGCAACCAAUUUAUGUUUAUAAGCUUGCCUUUUGUUUAAGUUAGCGUGACAGUUCUGUGUUUGAAAAAUUUCAGGAUUUUGGAGCUCUCAUGAUCCCCACAGUUCCAGGGCCUCCCCCAAAACUACAAACAAAUACAUCUGACUUGGAAAUUUUUCGUGCAAGGGCUUUUAGCCUGCUGUCCAUUGCUGGAGUUUCUGGAUUUUGUCAGGUUGUCCCUUUCUUUGUGUUUUUAUGAAGCACUUAGAUUCCUCUAUUUUCCUUAAUUUAGUAAACUUCAGUUUAAAAUUGUCAUAUACCAAUGUAGUUUCCCUGACAUUCUGUAGGUAAGCAUACCACUAGGGAUGUAUAAUAACCUUCCCCUAUCAAUUUCUCUGGUGGCCAGACAUGGUGCAGAUAGAUUUUUACUUCACCUUGUUGAGAGUCUUUAUGACAGCAUUAAAGAUAGAAAGCAGCAUAUCACAGAGCACAAACUUUAAUCUGACUGCAAGGAUGUAGAUGUAAGUUCUAUAUUUCUAACAAAAUCAGGGCAAAGAAAUUUAUGGAAGCUUUGAGAUCCUAUGAGAAACAAUACAAAUAUUUUAGUCCCUCCUUUUAUGUGCUUGGUCGAUUACUUUUGUGACUAGUGAGCAAAAUUUCUGUUUCUUUCUGUCUACUCAUUCAUUUUCUAUCUACCCAUCUUUUACAGAUGCUUUGAGUAUAUAUGCCAAAGGUGGGAGAGAAGCACAACCUGAAUUAUAUGGACACAAAUCAAAGGAGGGAUAUAGUAUGAAGGAAAUUCUUGCUUAUCUGAAUCCUGUUUCUCUCAGAUAUUAUAGAGUUCAAUUAUUCAUUAGGUCAUAUCAUUCUGAUUAUGCUAGCUUGGCUAUGAAAUCAAAAAGUCACAUUGAAAUUUAUACUAUAGUACUUCAAUAUUACCUUUGUACUAUCGAAGAUUGUACAGCUGCUUUCAAAAUAUUUAUAGAUAGUUUCAAAAUACUAACAGAGGACCCUUUUUUUUGUUUCAUGCGUUAGAUUUUUUUUUUAUCAAUGAAAAAAAAUAUUAAAGAAAUUUAUUAAAUAAAAAAUGUAAUAUUAACUAGAUUAAAUAACGGAUGAAAAAUGAACUGCGAUGGUAAAAGCAGCGGAUUGCAACAAUGGUUGUGUCUUGUGGAAUCAAUGUCUGCUGCAAAGGGAUCAUGCUACGAUUUAAACUAUUCUUCGAACAACAUUGAAGUACAAGUUUGCUUCCAAAUUAACAAUAUAUUCUAACUAUAUACUUAACAAUGCUUCCAACUUCUAUCCUUAUCGAUUACUAUCUUGUUUUUCUUGUGUUUUGAAGGCUUUCAAUUCUAUCCCUGAUUUCUUCUUAUCACUCAGGAUCUUAAAGAUUAUGCGUGCCGUUUAACUAUGGAGCCUUUGAUAUCUUUGCGUAGAUAUUGGUUUCAUUCGAUUUAGUAGAAGGUAACACGCACCUCCAUUCUAUACCAAGAGAUAUUUAAAGUUUAAACCUUAUACAUACCGAUCUUUAUUAUAUACUUUUACUUGUUUACAUAUAUUUGGCUACAAAAGACACAUUUUCUUAGGCUAAUAACUCGUACAUUCAAAAGUGGAUAAUCCUCCAAGCCCCACCUCUAACAGUGCAGAGAGGACCUGAGUGAGUUAGCCAUGCAUUAAAACACAUCGUAAAACAUUCACACAAAACGUAACACUGGCCUACUACUCUCGCCACAUAUAUUCAUCCCGAAUAUCAUCAUCACCAACGGUUUAACCAUUCACAACGGUUCCACCUGAAAAAAAAAAUGUCCAUGCUAAUUAGUAAAUUAACUAGAGUACUAAUGUGCAUAUUAGAUAUGGUUGCGGUGAAAAACAUUAUGAUAUCAAUUAGUCUUACCAUUGGGGUGAAGGACUUGUCCAGUUAUGUAAGAGGAGCAUUGGUUGGAAGCAAGAAAAACAUAGGAAGGAGCAACCUCAAUAGGUUGACCAGCUCUCUUCAUUGGGACCUGCGCUCCAAAUUGGGCCGUUUCUUCCUCCUUGAAAGAGGCUGGUAUCAAAGGGGUCCAAAUGGGCCCUGGAGCCACCCCAUUAACCCGAAUUCCCUUACUCACCAGCUGAAGGGCAAGACCCCUUGUAUAGGCCACAAUUGCCCCCUUGGUGGACGUGUAGUCCAAUAGUUUCGCAUGUCCCUUGUAUGCAUUCACUGAUGUCGUGUUGAUAAUGCUGCUUCCUUCCUUCAUGUGCUUCAAGGCAUGCCUACACAAUUUAUAACAUUUCAUUUCUCCUUAGACAUACAUAUACAUCAUAUAUAUCUCUCUUCAAAAGACUCUUUCGAAAAACUCUUUUAUGAUGGAUUAAAAUUUAUGAUUUUUGUGGCUUCUAUGUCUAAAUCAGGGGAUAUAAUUAUUAUUUGUAUGGAUUUCAUAAAAAGUGGCGCUAGCAUCUCUCUUAUAUGAUUUUACCUCGCCAUGAAGAAAUAGGAGAAGAUAUUUGUACGAAAGACCCUCUCAAGCCUAGGCUCGUCUAUGUCCUCCACGGUUCCACACUCGUACUGCUCAGCUGCAUUGUUGACCAGAAUGUCAAUACGACCAUAAGCACUCACGACCUCAUCAACCACCCUCUUGCAGUUCUCAUCGUAACCCAAAUCAGAUGGUAUUGCCAUUGGAUCCUUGGCAUCCGAAGUCUUUGCUCUCUUGAUCAUUUCCAAUGUGUCCCUCGCGUCCUUGUCCUCAUGCCCCUUCACAUACGUGAAGGCCACGGUAGCACCUUCUAAGGCAAACAAGUUACACACCGCUCGUCCAAUCCCAGAAUCACCCCCAGUGACUAAUGCAAUCUUCCCCUGAAAAUUAACACACAACACAAGAAAAUAAAAAUUAAAAUUGUGAAGGCUUAAUUGGCACGAAUUAAUCAAAAUGCAACUUGGACCAAUGUCUUCUAAAGAACUACCAACUUAACAGAAACUAAAAAUAUAAGGUAAGUUUUAAUGGAUGUAAUAGUAUAUAUAUAUAUACUUGAAGUUUAUUUGAAGGCUUGUAGUCAGGGCUAGUGAAUUGGGGUACUGGAGUCAUAGCAUGCUCCUUCCCAGGCUGUGUUUGUUGUUGUUGAGGAGGGAAUUUCUGUUCACCGGAAGCCAUUCUUACAAACAAGCUUUUGGGAACAGAUAUGGAGAUCUUGUCUAGAACAAAUGUUGUUGGAAAGUAAUGUGUGGAAAUGCUGCUUAUUAUAGAUCUCGGUGUGCGGUUAACAUGUGGUACGUAGAGGAACUACUUGAACUUGGCAGCACGUGGGGGUGAUGUGUUUGAUUAUAAAGGAUUUGAAUUUGAAUAUGCCACGCGGUGAGGGGUGGCAGAAGGAGCUGUUGACGUGUCCUGCUAUUCGCAUGCACUGGAUCCGUCUUUGGAAACGGACAUUCUCGACCAACACAAGCUUUUGCUUUUGCCUGCAUCUUCCCUAAUCCCUUCUAUAUUUUUAAUCAGACACUUUCAUUUUUAUAUUAUUAGUUAUAAAUUAUAUUUGUGAUAAAUGCUUUAAAAAUAGUAUUUAAGGUUGUCGUUAACAAAUUCAUUAGCCGAAAUAAUUCGAUCUUCUCCUUCAUCUAGUGUUAUAUGAUCUCCGAUUUCCUUUUUCAGUACACAGUGAAAGUACCUAUCAAAAAACUUUAAAUCAAAUCAAUUAAGUUAGAGAUGUUUAUGUGUAUGAGAAUGAAUAAGAUGUACAUUUUCUUUUCUCUAUCUGAGUAUAUGAGUUAAGGGAGGAGGUUACAACUCAGUAACUGCUCCUCAUCAGUAUGUGCUAUACUCCUUUAGUGGGGAUCAUGGGUUUGGUCUUGCUCGAGUAUAUGACAUGUGUGUUGAGUACCUAUCGAGUUUAUGACCUGUAGGUUAUAGGUGUUUCUUUUUUAAUUAGAUAGUAUUUGAUUCAAUUUUUUAUGUUUAUUUUAUUUUUUAAAAAAAAGAAAUGUCGAAUCAAACAAUUUUUAUAUAACAAUUCUUAACUAAAAAUAAAUAGCUUAUGUUUAGAAGAAAUUAUGAGAGUAAUGAAGUUUUAGAAAAGUUAAUUGGAUAAACUAUCUAAACUUUUGGAGAGUUUAUGAGGAGCUUUUUUUUUUUUUUUACGUUUAAAUCGUAUGUAACUAGGCAUCUAUAUUUUGUUACUUUUUUUUAUUAUCGUAUAUUUAUAUUUUUUUUAUUAUAUUGCGUUCCAUUUCUCAUCUUAUUAAAUGCUCAUUUUUUUUUUAAUUUGAUCGUAGUUUGUUCACCACUCCUACAUGCAGUAUAAGCAAAGAUGAAAUCUUCUACAAAUCAUUGCAUGUUUAAAGCUACCUCUGGAUAGAGCUCAUGCUCAUUUCUUCUUUCUCUUCUUUAAAUGUCCAUUUAAUUUGUUUUGCACCAAUAUUUAAUUUUAAAAACUGCUGGCUGUGGGACCCACGCGCACUUAUGUGCAGAAAGAUCCCCUUAACCUCUCGGGCAAACCAGCUGGAUUAUCCGAAAACUACCUUAAUUAAAGAUGACUGAUGUAUUUUUUUUUUAAAGAGAAAUGAUAUACAGAUAAUUGUGUUCUUCGGAUUUAUUACUUAUAAAAAUAAUUAUUCAUGCUAAGAAAGUUACUUAAUAUUAUUUAAUUUUAUUAAUCCUUAUUAAAAAUGAACCUAACUAAAACAUGAAAGACUAUUUUGAUUUUUUUUUUAAAUAUAAAAGACCAUUCUGAACAAAAUUAAAGAUAGGAAUGACCAUUGUAAACCUUGUUUGAUCCCACGAAGUUCACGUUAUGUCACGUUUAGUAAUUGACGAUAAAGAUUAGUUUGAAGUUAUUCCUAAACGUUAAGGAACUAAAAUAAAACUUCUAAAUUGUAAAAGAUUAAACUGAACAGAAAUAAAACAUAAAAUAUUAAAUAUAUGUAUUUUAGCCUUUUAUUUAUAUAUAUUAAUUGAUUCUCCAAUGAAAAUUGACCAGUACAGGGAAAAAAAUUAAGUAUAUUAUAAUGUGCAUUGAUAUGAUUUAAAUAUUCUAAGUAUAUUAUAUAUUUUUCUUCAUUGUCCAAGUAAUAAAAUGAAAAUUUUAAAAUCAUUAUAACGAUGUUUUCUAAAUACUUGCUAUUAAAGUUAAUGGUAUCUUUUUUUUUUUUUUUUUUGCUGACAAAGUUAAUGGUAUCAUCACACUAGCUUAAAUACUUGUUGAUUGUCCAAGUAAAGGGAAAAAAAUGAAAAUUUUAAAAUCAUUAUAAUGAUGUUUUGUAAAAUAUUUGCGAUUAAAGUUGAUGGUAUAUAUCGGCAUACUAACUGAAAUGUGCAAAUGUAAGAAGUGCGAAAAAUAAAAUUAAAGCAAAAAUUAGCCAAUUUUUAGACAAAAAAAAAGAAACAGAAAAUAUGUCUAUUCUGAAUUCUGAUGAAAUUAAACUAACUUUUUCAAAUCAUCGAUUCUUUUCUUGCUCAUUCUACUUUUCCCAGAAGCAAACAGAAUAAUGGUGCAGAAGUCCCCCUCUUUACAAGCAAGGUACAAAAAAAGUGAGGAGGAUCUCCCUCUAAUGAGAAAGCAUAAGGAAUGAUCCAAGAAGGACACACUCCUUUACUCAUUGUUUUUGUCUUAAAUGUCUCUAUACAGAUAUUAUAUAUUUUGAAAAUAGGUUUUAAAAAAAUAAUAACUAAAGUUCUACAGUUUAAAUGAAAUCUUUACUAAUAUUGAAAGAGAAAUCUUUUAAUUUCUCUAUUAUUUUUUUCAAAUGUUUUUGAAAAUAUUCAAUGUUUUUCGCACAAGAAAUGACUGAAUCGUAUUGUCAUUUUUGCUAUUCUUUUUUAUUCUUAUUCAAUUCUCCUAAUAAAAGUCUUUUUUUUUUUCUCUUUUCAAUCAUACAGUUACAGAUAUUUUCUCCCCUCUGUCUUCUCGUGGGGACUUAUAUAAGUGGUGACGUAUAUCAUAAUCACAUGAACAUAUUGUUACUUAAACCCUCUCGCUCCGGUGCAAUCCAACAAGAAGUUCUGUUUUUUCCUCUUGUUACACUCCAUUAACGUAACCAUGCUCUCUUUCAAACUUAGUCUCUACCUUCUUAUUGCCUCUGUCUUUUUCUUCCACCUGCUUCCUAGUCCAGUGCUCUGCAACGGUAUAGUUUCUCUAAUCUCUUUGCCUCUCUCCCAAGCACUCCUCUCCCUAGCUACAUACAUGAACAUGUGCAUGCUUGUUUAAUGUUUACAUGAUUUAAUUUAAAUUGCAAUGACACUUUUUGCUAGUGACUCAACCAAGUAAUCUAUAAACAUAGUAAAACACCAACAUGUUAAGCAAGUAGCUACAUUUUUAACAUAGAGUUUAAAUUUUAUACACCUAAAGUGUCAACCUUUUAGAAAUCAUGGUAUGUAUGAUUUGCAAGAUAAUUAUUGCAAAAAUCAACAGACUUAUCAUACAUGAUAAUUUGUGAUAGUGUAAAAUUGUACAUAGACUAUGUUUCUAUUUUCUAAUAUAUUCUCCUUUAAUUUGCAUGCUUGUGUGGUUUCCCUAGACGAGGAGGAUCUACUUCAUGACAUCAACGUAUACAGAAAAGUUUUGAACCUUCCUGUUCUGGAUGAAAGUGGCAAAGCUUCUUGCUUAGCUGAAGAGAUAGCAGAAAAUCUAGAGCACACGAAAUGUGAAGACUUUCGUGACUACUACCCUCUGCCUAGUUACACCUCCAAAAUUCCUAAGUUCCAAAAGAGCAUAAACAAAUGCAAGAUCAACAUCAACACCACAAAAGAUGGGGUCAUCAUGCCUCUCUGUGUGCCCAAGUUGGACCCCGAUGCUUUGUUUUCCAAUUAUACCAAAUCUAAUCGCUUCUCAAAGUAUCUGAAUAAUUCCAAGUAUAAGAUAGCAGGGCUUGGUUCUGAGGACGAUUGGAUGGUUCUUAUUAUCAGCACCAACACUUCUUCUGGAGAUUUUUCCUCUGCAACUUCUCUGCUUGCUGGGGCUUUGAAGGGUCACUACCUCAUGCUGCCAUUCUUCUUGAGCACGCUUAUUGUUUUCUUCAACUAAAUUGAUUGUUCUCUUUUCACCUAUGCUUCAUUCAUUUGGUGGAAUUUUCUUUUCCCUUUUAUUCUUUUUCUUUUUCUUUGCUAUUUGGAACAAUUCUUUUUUCUGUAAUUUUGUGUAUAUGGGAGUGUACUUUGUCAAGUUCUUGAUUCACGAUUUGCAUGUGAUAAGAUCACGAUGCACCUACUUGUAAUUGAUCGUGUAUAUUGUGAUUUGAUUGUUAAUAUGUUUGAAAAAUUCAAGUCUGUGGGUGGUAUGUAUUUAUUUAUCCUGGAUUUUUUUAAUAUAUAAUAUCAAUUUACAUAUUUAAUUUUACACACUUUGUAAUGUUGACCCUUAAUCCUCUUAUGAUCUAAAUUAGUAAAGGAGUCCUCGUGCCUGAUCAAGUCUCGUUUUCUUCUGUAACAUAACACUUGUCUGAAUUGAGGCUAUAUAAUUGUUUGGCUGCUUGUUUUUUCACAGGGACCUAUGGCUUGAGUAAGAAGGAAUUCUUUGGUGAAAAUAUAUUUUCUUGUACAUUCGAUAGGUGUUAAAAUGAUUUUCCACAGAAUAAAAAAAAGGUGUUAAAGAUGUGAAUUGUGAUAGUAAGAUAAAAGGAAUAAAAAGAAAAGUAAACAGAGUGAUAUACAAUGUUAUGUCGUAUAAGUAGAGAAAUAUUAAGAGGUGAAAGAGGGAGGAAGGUACUAUGUAUAAAUAUAUGAAAAUUAUUAUUAUUAUUAUUACAAGUUUUAUUUUAUAGGUACUAAUAUUAAUAUUUAGUGUCUGUAAUUUUCUAAGGUUAAAAUAUAUUUUAAUCUCCAGAAAAAUAAGUAAGUUUUGAUUUAUGGUUUUUGUAAAAAGGAUUUUUUUUAUCCCUCUAAAAUUUAAAAUCAUUGUUUUCGACUCCAGUAAAACGAGUGAAUUUUUGUUUUGGUCCUGUGAAAUAUUUUUUUCCUCAAAAUUUGAAAUGAUUGUUUUUAAUCUCCAAUAUCCAUUUUAAGAUAGAUAAAUGAUAUUUAUUUUAGGGAUAUAAAUUUUGUUAGAAAUAUCACAUAAUACCAUAAAUACUAGUGAGUGUUACUUAGAGUUAGGAUGAUCAUUUGAUCUCCCAUUAAACACAUAAGUAGUUAAUGAGUGUCAUGUAACACAAAUAAAAAAAUGAUAAUUUCAUAUUUUUUAGCAAUGAAAAAGAAACAAGGUUAAUCAUAUAAAGAUUAAAAUAAGAACUCGUUAAUUUUAUAGAAAUUAAAAACAUAUUCAAACUUUUAUUAAAUAUUUUUUUUAAAUAACUAAAACAACUUUAUGUAUGAAUUAUAUAUAUAAUACAAACUUUCUAUACGAGAACUUGUGUUGAAGAGAGAAGUAGAUCAUUGCCAUCUAAAUCAUUUUGAUUUGCAUGAAAAAUGGGUAUGAAAGGUGGACUAAAAGUAAGCCAAGUGUUCAUGUUUUUUAACUUUUAAGUUUAACAUUUGAGAGAUUUUAAAUUGUUAAACCAAGUAUGCCAAUUAUAAUAGAUAUUUGUAUCUUUUAGGUUUAAUACGAGAUACACAAAAUAAAGAUUGAGUCUUUGUAAAUAAUUGAAUUUAUAAUGAUUUAGCUCGUAAAGACAAUCGAGCUUACAAAGAUAAUGGAUAAAAACUAUACUAAUAUAUUGAAAGAAAAAAGAUAUAAGAUUGACUUGAUGAUUAAGAAAGAAUGCAAAAAGUCAUGAAGAAAAGAAAAGUCAUGAAUUUAAAUUUCUCAAUUAAUAUUUUUAAUAAAAUUAAUAAACUAAAAUUUACCGAUAAAUAAAAAAACAUGGGGAAAGAAACACUAAAAUAGUUAAGAUGCCACUAAAACCCACUUAACUCAAGGGACAUAGCUCCUAGCCAAUUGAAUUCUAAAGCUUUCUGAUAGGUGAGUAAGGUUAAAUAAGUACUGUUACACCUACAUAUACACGUAGGAGCAAUGCAACAGGCACCACCCUCUAACAUACAGCCAAAAGCUUUACCAAGACUUAGACACAACAUAAAUAGGCAUGCUAUCCCCAUUAUCAUGCUUAGGUAACACAUAAUAGGAUUUGUUAAGGUCUAUUGAGUCUAUCUUUGACUUCAAGAUGUUUCAAAAGUUGUAUUCUAUAACAUGGAAAAAAAGAGAGUAACAAAUAACUCUUUUAACCAAUCACAAUACAUUACCAUACUGUUGGAGUCUAGUUUAAAAAUUUAUUUCCCAUUAAACUUCUUCAACUUGAUUCAUGUAAUUUUAGAGUUCAUUUUUCCAUACCAUUUAUCAUUUCUCUUUCUAUUCAUUUCAUUUCCACUUUAAAAGUUCAAACUUCAUAUAUCACUAAAUGUAGUAUAAGAUAUGAAUAAAAGUAAAUAACUAAUCAUAAGUGAAAAAAGUAAUGGUUAAAGGUGAGAGAUCAAAUGUCGAGAAACGCUAAAAUACCUGUUAAGAUGCCAAAACCUUCGGAUGAUGAGAUGAAUAUGAAGACUAUGGGAGAGUUGAAACUAUUAAUUAGGGUUGCUUCUAUUGAGGUCAAGAAAGAUGAUAAUACUAUAUAUUUUUUCAUGGACAUUCUCAUAUAAUCUUAUUUAGGACAAUAUUAGAUACUAACAAUGCGUUGAAAUUCAUGUAAGAGACAUGAAUAAAUUUUUAUUUUCACAUCAAUUCGACUAAAGACAUAAAAACUAUGAACAUCAAUUUGUUUUUAAUGUGGGUCUAUUGCGUUAGAAAAUUUGAACUAAACGUGCACUAAAUACGAGUAACUUUGCAAGUAGGGAUUCGUUAGUAAGAAGGUAAAUACUUUUGAAAGUGUAUAAGAAUUCAAGUUUGCAUAACAAAGCAGUCAAGUGUGGUUCUAAUCUUGAAAACAUUGUGAAUUUGUGGAGGUUGUGUGAGAUAAAUAUUGUUGCAAAUUUUUUUUUAUUAGUAUGAAAGUAAAGACAACAAGCAAAAACUAAAUGCGAGGGUACAAAGUUCCUGCUGCAUCCGCUAGCAACAAUAGUCAAACACAGAAUAUAGGUAGUGCAAGAUUUAGCUUCUAAUUUAGCUAAGACAUCAGCGACAAAGUUGCCUUAUUGGAAAGACAGACCAAUUAAGUUGUGGAAGCUCACGAAUGGCAUAAAAAAUGUAUUUAUUUUAAAAAAAAUGUAAAACAAAUUAAUAAAAUGAUAUUUUAUUGUUUUUAAUUUAUAUCUACAAUUUUCUCAAAAUAGAAACACAUUAACUGAAGUUACAUUUGAAAUAAAAACUAAACAAAACAUACCUGGUUAAAGUUUUAUUUAAAAUUAAAAAGAGAAAAUCAUUCAAUACUUCUUAAUCCUCAAAACGUUUUAUAAGUUUCCAGAAAUAGUCCACUACGUAGUGACAUAAAUCCCAAUUGUUUAACUGGGUGUAAUUCUCACAUGAAUUAUACAAUAUACACACAGUGAUGAUAAGUUAAUUAGUUCAUUUGAUCAGGUCAAACAAUAAUUUUGUAAUAAAGUAAAAAGUUUGAGACUUUGAGUUUUUGAACAAACUAUUUAGGCAUUGAAUUUUUCUUCAUUCUAUGAUUAGCAUUAAACAAUCAUCCACACGUGUACAGAACCACAAAUCCACAUCACACGAUAGAUAAAUGUAGUAGUGUCACUCCCAUUACAUUGCAUAAUAAUUAACACUUGACGAUACCAGUUUUUUGCUAACUCAAAAGGCAUAUAAUACGUUAUUGACACCGAACGAAAGAAACGCAGCAGCGUCUGUGAGCUAUGGCGGAGGAGGAGGAAGACGACGAGAGCUUCGGCGAGUUCACGUUCGCGUCGUUUCCGAGUCAACCAACCUCAAACGACACCAAUCCCCUCGACGACGACGAUUGGGGCGACUUCAUGAACCAUUCCAACCGGAUCAACGGACCCUUCGACUCGUUCGGGCUUCCCACGGAUCCCACGAACAAACACGUGAACGACGACAAAGGCGUUGCCGUUCAGGCCGAGGCAGCGAAAAAUCCCAAGGGAGCUAUUCCGCUUUCGAUCUUCGGCGAGGAAGAGGGAGAAGAAGAGGAGAAACCCGCUUCUGCCAAUGUUUUCUCCAACGGCGGCGGUGGUGCGGUGAAAAGGGGAUCCGGUUCGAACGGGUCUGUUGGAAUCAGUGAUUUGAUUUCCAGUUUGUAUAAUCAGCAGCGCCCUCAGGUGGAUUCUCACAACAACGGAUCGGUUUCGGUAUCCAAUGUUGCUGCUCCCAAUCCGACGUACUCGAACGGAAGCAAAUUAAAUUCGGAUGAGGAUGAGGAUGGAUGGGAAUUCAAGUCUGCGGAAUGGGAAACUGGAACCAAGAGCCAGGAUGUUAAGGUAAUAGAGCGAAUUUGUUUAAGGUUGGGGAUUAUAGAACUUAGAGCUGAAGAGAAUGCUGGAAAUGAUAAUCAUGCUUGAUCUUACUUUCCUGAGUUUUGGAAUUGUCGGUGGAUCUUUUUCUGUAGCUUGUUCAAUGGAAACGAGGUUUAGGAAAGCUAUGUACUAUAUGAAUUAUGUGAUUUUUUUUUAAUAGCUUCCACUUGAGAAGCAAGAGCUAGUUGAUUUAAUUGUAUUGAAAUGACAACAAAAAAGGGUAGGAAAAUAAUGCCAGUGGUAUCGAUCAAUUGUUAUAAAUUUUGUGCUGAUGUAGUAACUUUGUGUCUUGAAGUCAUUUUUGGCAAUGUCUGUCAGGAAGAUCUAUGAUUUGAAAUUGAAGUACAUUAAGGGGUUAUUCACUUGGGCGAGAGAUUGAUAAGCACGUGGUUGUCUGUGAAAUUACUUUUGUAAUGAAUUUCGUUUGCCUGAUGAUAUGUAUUCUAUUUUAAAGGCUGAAACACCAAAGCAUGAUAAUGGUGCUCUUGAUGUUGGUACUGUGUUGGAUUCAUCCAAUGGGAUUUUAGACAAAGCUGGCAGAUGGCACGUGGAGUUUGAGUUCAGUCCACAUUCUGCAUCGCAAGAUCAUGUUAACCCACAACCAAGUCCAGAAAGUGAAUCAAAUGACAUUGGAACUGGGUUUGCCAUGUUCAGUCAAAAUUUUGGGGAGUUUAGUUCAGGGUCAGGGCCAAAUCAAAAUUUGGUGAGUUGUUUUUACAUAAUUUCCUCAUUUUGUGUUACAUUGUUCAUUCAGAUUAUUGAGGAAUGUCCAUUAACACAAUCUGAUUGUGGAUUUGUGGUAUUAGGAAGUACUGAAGAAGGCUGACAUUUAUCCCACUAAUAUGGAAUUACUGAAAUUUGAAGGUGCAACUCCCCAUGGUACUAUUGAUUCAUCUCUCACAUCAGAAUCUAAUCAACCUGAUGGAUGGAACUUUGGAUUUAAUUUCAAUUCUAGUUCUGUGGGUGAAGACAAUCAUAGUUCAGAUUCAUAUUUCAAAACCAAAAACAAUCAGGAUGAUAACAACAGAAACAAUGCUUCCCCAACUAAUAUAAAUGUUGAUUCACAUGUCAAUUUCUUUGAAUCAGAGAGUGAUGUUACAAAACAUGAGGUACUGAAUCAAUUUGAUAUUAUACUUCAUAUAUCAUGUGGAAUUGUAUAGGUUUAAUUUCUUAAAAAAGGAUAUUCAAUCUUGAGUUCUUACUUUGGUUUUAGUGACCCAUGAAAAAAUUUCAUGAGUUUGUCAUAUGACACAUUGUUUUGUUUACCACUCAACUAAGUCUUCAUACUUUUUAAACAUGUUGUUACUAUUCUUUCUAUUUCCAGAAGCCCCUAACAAGCUCAGAGAAUCGUAGGGAAGCCAUGCCUCUGUCAAUUUUUGGUGAUGAGACACCAGAUACUGAUAAACAUCCUGUGACUCAAGAUUUAUCUCCCUAUACACCAACAUCCCCAAUAAGGAACAGCUUCAACAGCCCUGGUUCCAACUUUUCUAUCAAUGACAUAUGGAAUUUAUAUAAUCAAGCUGAAAACCAAAGUUCUCCUAAUAUGACACCAAAAGCAAGUGAAAAUCAGAUUCAUGCCUCCCCUGAAGUAUUGGGCUCCAGUUUGGUUACCAGUAAUGAUAAUUUAGAUGAUGACUUCUGGGACUAUAAGGAUGCUGCAACUGAAACAAGAUUUACCAAUGAAUCUGCACAGAAAACUUCUUCACCACAAGUCAAUGAGAAUGUGUUGCAGUCUUCCCCAACAUUUUUAAAUUCUGAUUUGACCAACGGUGAUGAUGAUUUUGUGGAUGAUUCAUGGGUGUUUAAGGAUGCUAUCUCUGGAACAAUAAGUCAAGAUCACACACCUUCUCUCGAUCACAGAGAUUUACCACAGUUAUCAACAAAACUAGAGCAGGUUGAUUAUGCAGAGUUUUAUAGCAAAGUGAAGGAUGAAUUGUGCAAUUAUGUUCUGUUCCAUCUUCAGAAUCUCAAGGUAGCUAACCUUUGUUGGUGUUUCUUCGUUAGAUAAUGCUAAUACUUACUGGCACUGAAAUUAUUCAUAAAUUUAUAUUCUUAGAAAACUCAAAAUGUUGCUGCUCUUUCGGGUGAAGAUGCCAAAGCAAAAGCUCUUCUGGAGGAAAUUCAGGUCAGUAUAUAAACUAUUUUUUUGUCUAUUUGCUAUCUAAUAUUGUUGUUUUGUGCUUUUGGAUACUUAUUAUUUCCUUACAAUAGUAAAUGUAAAACCCUGGGAAGGGGAUUCUCUCCAUGGGGGUAAUGGGAGAAUCUGGCGGUAGGUCUUUCAGGAUUUGGCACAAAGUUAGCAGAACCCCAGAUCUAAUGGCCUGCUUGUGACUUGUGUUCAUUGGGUCAAAGGCCCCCCAUCAAACAUGAUUGAGUUGAGCUAUUAGCAGUAUGUUAUUGUGAAUUUGGUUUUCCUCUGCUUGUGUAUUUGUUUUUUUUUUUUUUUGCUCAGCAAAAAUAGGUAAUUAGAUUAUAUGCAAAGUACCAGAGGUACUGAAAAUACAAACAAUAGAGAUAUACACAGCUGGUAUCAAUACUAUCCUAGAGGUUAAUAUUAGAUACCAUCUGAACCCAAGGCCAGGAUUACAGCAGAGAAUCCUAGCCAGUACCCUUCUUUCCUAUUUACCCAUAUACAUCCCCCAUCUGAGAGGACCACUGGUUGUAAUGCAUAGUGAAGUCUUUCCUAUUUGUGUAUGGCUAUUAUUUCCUUGUUAUUAAUCAAAUGCACAAGCUAUUAAUAGUUUCAGUAUUGUUUCUACUCUUCUUUUCUUUUACAGGAAUUCUCCAAGAUACUGCAUCAGGAUAAUAUGAGCAUCCCCAAUGAAUAUCUCUCUGAGGAUUAUUGCCCAAGAAAUGUCUGCUUUAAUGAACUUCUUGAAGUUUUGAAGGAACCUAAGUUCCAACCUUUUGAGUCAGAAUACCAACUAGCAUCAAGGUUGUUGAUGGUAUGCAUUUCUUGAAAAUAUUGAGUGUUGUAUUUUUCAAGUUUUAUUCUUUUGCAUGUGCAAAUAGUACUUUAACUACUGGAGGAUUUUGAUUGUUUCAAACAGAAUAUAUGAUUGCAUAACUGAUUUAGGAAUUUUUUGUCAGUAGUGAUGUAUUGAUAUUUGUCCUAAUUUUCCUUGAGAUUAAUCUGAUGGAUAAUAGUUAUGUUUUCUUGUUUUAUUUAUUGAUAUCCUUCUUUUUUUACCUGACCAUUCAGCUUGACAACACAUGUACAUUUGUUUUUCAAUAGGCCGAGAAGGAUAUUAAAUGUGUUAUGGAACUUUUGAAAGAUACAGUAUCAACAUUAAGAAUUCUCAAGCUGGGAUCAACAGAAGAACAAUCUAAUUAUCUUACCAUAUGGUCCAAAAUAGCCUUUGUUUGUUCUCAAGAGCUGAAACAUGGUGCUUAUGUUUGGAAGCAAGCUGUACUACAGAAUACCCAUGACCAGAUAUUAUCUAGCCCGAAAGGUAAGCUACAUGAUUAUGUCAUGCCUAAUGUAUAUGCUGCUGAUGUGGAUGAACUUAAGCAGUCUGAAAUAACCUCUUCCUUUUCUGGCAUAGGUGUUCAGUUUAUCCUUGCACUCGGAGAAAUUUAUAGAGUGGCAGAAAUUAUUGGAACUUCAGCCAAACUUCACAAACCUUGGAUGUUAUCAGGUGCCACAGAUCACAAAAGUUUGUGUGCCCUUUUGAACGAAUGUUAUGGCAUAUGGUUGGCUUCAGGACUUGAAGAAGCUAUUUUGAGUAUAUCAAAUUGGAAUAAUUUUGAGCCAGAUGGCAUUUCAAGGGAAUUAGUUGAAUCCAUCAAGUAUAUUCACGAGCUUGAUGAACAUGCACUUCAGAGCUUUGUCAUCUCUGGAGAACAAACUACUUGCCAGUUGUCAGCCUUGCCAGCUGGUUUCAUACCAGGUAUGUGCACUAUAAUCUUGACUGUCUUCAAAUGUAAGCGAUAAAAUUUGAUUUAAAAUUAAUUUUUGAUAGAAUUUUUUCCUUACUAUUUGUCACUAAUAAAGGUGUCCAAAAUAAAUACCCUUCAUUAGUGAUUAGGAAAAAGAAAAUCUUUUGAAAUGUGAAAAUUUCUUAGCUCCUUCAUUUCAUGUUAGCUAAACAGAUAUAAUAGUAGUUGAGCAGUUGAACUCUCACUCUCUGAUGAUGUUAUCUUGGAGUGGACGUGCAGCACUAAACUACUGAAAACACCUCACAUAACCAAAAAGAAGUGAAACAAAAUAGGAGCAGGUGCUGCAGGAUCUAUGUUGGAAAGAGUCUUUCUGCAUUAUGUUAUAGUAGUUGAUAUCUUUUUAACUCAAAUUUACAUUUGCAUUAGUAUUUGUUUGGAUCAAUAGCUAUAAGCUAUGCUUUGAUUGAUUUCGUUAAAUGAUGUGGGAAUAGGUAUGGUGUUUUGCAUUUAAAAAUGAAAAGUGCAAAUCUCAACUACAUACCAGUUUGGCCUUGUAAUUUAUUUUCCACGUGUUUUUUGUGGAUCAGGAUUAAAUUUGGUUGCAUGGAAUGGGAAGCAUUACAUCGUCAAGCUAGCAAACUUGUGGGUCAAUCUAAUAAGCUCAGAUCCACCCAAGUGAAACCUGCCAAUUCAAUUAUGUCUCUUACAACGAGUAGACUCUUCCUUUCGCUUUGUCAUGGUGUGUUGUUGAGUUCUUUUCUCUUUAAGAAAAAUCAGCGUGAGAUUGUGGCGGGAUCCAUUGUUUUGUUAGUGGGGUGAGGCCUUUGGCUCACUGGCGGCAGUUGUAGUGAAAGGAGAUUGUGUAUCGGGCAAAGUCACCAAUUAAGUUCAUUCUUUCUUCAAUAGGUUACAAUUCUUUCGGCGGAAGCUUUAGAGCAAUAGCCGCAUGUUACAGGUGUAAGAUGUAUUACUAGUGUUAACGAAGAACUAUAGUACUACAGAGAGUAUAAUUCUGGAUACGAUCCAGUUCUGCAGAGGGAACGAUAUUGCGUAGUAAUCAAAUGAUUCUGGUGUUGUAAAGUAACUGGGAUUCUUCCCUUAACAAUUUUACACAAUAGUUUUUUUUUGGGCAUGAUUUAAAUUAUGAAUACUAUUAUUUUAAAUUUGAAAACGUAUUUCCCAAGUCAGCUCAAUUGGAAAGGCAACCGUAGCAAAAUAUAAAGUUGCAUUAUUGCUCCUCAGCAAGGGCCACAAUACUUGUAGGUAAGGUUAUCAAAAUUAUCAAAAUUGAGAGUUUACUUAAACUCAUGAAAAUUUCAUAAAAAUGAUUCAUAUAUUCAAUUCGGAGACGCGCAAGAAUUUAUUUCAUAUAAAAAUAAUAAUAAAAUAUUUAUAAAUAACAUAUCCAUUAAAUAUUUCAAUAAUAUAAUAAAGUAAAAUAGAUAAUAAUAAAUUUCACAAUACUUAAAUAAUCAAGUCUAGUAAUGCAUCACUAUUAGAUAAUAACUUGUAGAUGUUAUAGUAGUGAUAAAUCAUUUCCAUCAAGGGUUUGAUGUUAUUAAAGGUGAAUUUUUUUUAUUUGAAAAUAACACAUUAAAUGAAGGUAUGUUGAACAUUAAAUAAAUAAAAAAUAAUUCAAAAUGACUUAUAUUUUGAUUUAAUUUUUUUAACUUGCUGAUUCGUUGAUUCGGCAAUAAAUUCGAGAGUCUACCAAAUUUAUUUAGAGUUUAUAGAGUCUAACUAGAGUUUAUUAAAAAGAAAGUUUACAAGAAUAAUGAACUCGUAAGAGUUAACGAAUUAACAAAUAUAUCCAAAAUAAUUUCUUUGAGACUAAGAAAUUUAAAUAAAAAAGUCUGACCCUUGCCAUAGAACUUGUCAAAAACCAUCAAUAAGAUGGCGGUUAUAGUGAAGAAAGCGACAGAACUAACUAAACAAUGUUACCCAAAUAAGUAGGAAUUCUAUUUUUAGUGAGCAUUCAUACCAAGUGAAUUUGAUAUUGUCGUGUAUACGUUCCUUCAUAGACACUUGAAGGAAGGAUUAAAAACUAAAAAGUGAACCUACAUAUUAGAAGCAUGUGAACUGUUCACUACAUUUGGUCUCUCGAAGAUGUAAUGAAAACAAAAACGAUGAAAUGAAAAUGAAAAAUGACAGGACAGAAAUGUUAACAAUUGAUUGUGACUAUUUUUUUUAGAAACAAACGACGAAAAUAAGAAUAAAAAUAUAUAGAUAGGUAUUCAUAGUUGAGUUGAUUAGAUAACUUUUUGUUUCACAAAAUUUCAAAUUAUGUAAGAUUUUUUAAUUUGAAUUAUUAUAAAUUUGUAUUAUUAAUUUAAAUUUUCAAAUCAUGAAUAUCAUAUCUGUCAUGAUUAUUCUAAUCAAUAUAAUUAUGCAUUUUUAUAAAUUAGAAAUGAAAAAUAUUUACAUUUUAGUGAGGCAAAAUUAUAUUUAUAUUAUGAAAUCAAAAUAUAUAAUUGUAUUAUUAAUUAGAACAUUCAAAUUAUAAAAUAUAUACCCGUCAUAAUUUUCUUAAUGAAAAUAAUUACACAUUUAUGAAUUAAGAAAAACUAUUUACAUUACAUCUUUGACUAAAAAAGAAUAAUAUUUUAUAUGAAUCAAAGGAUCUUAGCCAAAAGUUAAGGAUUGAGAUUCAUUAAAUGGAUUAACCUCUUUUUUAUACGUAUGAACCAAAAUCGAAUCUUAAUCAUAUUAUUUAUCAAAUCAUGUCACAUUAUGUUAAAUUUUUUUUAAAAAAAAUAGUUUAAUCAUAAAAUUCUUUUUGAUUUUUAUUUUCUGGGCAGGUGAAGAAAACAAAUAAAAACCCUCUUCCGACUUCCCUCAUUCUUAGAUUCAGUCGUUGCACAAGUGAGGGAGGUUGAAGGCGGCGUGAGAAGCAUGUUGGACAUCAACCUAUUCAGAGAGGAGAAGGGCCACAACCCUGAAUUCAUCCGCGAAUCCCAGCGCCGUCGUUUCGCCAGCGUCGAAGUCGUCGACGAGGUCAUCAAUCUCGACAAAGAAUGGCGAAAGCGUACUCUCUCUCUCUCUCUCUCUCUCUAACAAUGUCACCAAUCCAAUCUCGCACCAAUGCUAUCUAUUAUUAUGCAUGCCUUUUCAGGUCAAUUCGAGUUGGAGAAUCUCCGCAAAGAAUUUAACAAGAUCAACAAGGAAGUCUCCAAACUCAAGCGUGUGAGUAUCUUCAUUUCCGUUAUUCUAUUUUUUUUUCUCGUCUAAUACAGAUGCUAAUUCUGAAUGAAUUCAUUUGAACUUUGUUCUGCGCGUUAGGCUGGCGAGGAUGCAACUAAGUUCAUCAGUGAAUCAGAGGAAACCAAGAAAUCGAUAGGGGAGAAAGAGGUUGAAGUUCGGGAAACUCUGAAUCUCUUGAAUUCCAAGUUGGAAACUAUUGGAAACCUCGUCCACGAUUCCGUUCCAAUUAGCCAGGAUGAGGUUUGUUUCGUUUUUUCUUUUUAUGUGUGUUGUUUUAUUUCUGCUAAUUCUCAAUGCUUGUCUGGAAAUUCAUGGGGUCUUCCAUGCUUUAGGCCAACAAUGUUGUCGUUAGAUCGUGGGGAGAGAAGAGAGUGGAGCCUAAGCUGAAGAAUCAUGUGGAUCUAGUUGAGCUUCUCGGGAUAGCAGAUACAAAGAAAGGUUUGAAUUUGUUCAUCUAGCGUUCGAGUGAUGAUUUAUUUAUUAAUUUUCGUGGGGUGAAGAGCCUUUGGAUGACUUUUAAUUUUGGAAUCUUGUGUUGUGAUGCCAUUUUCUGCCGAUUUUUCACCUUAGUUUACUUCCUGAACCAUUUCAUUUUGUAUGGUUGGCUUAGCUAUUGCACUAGUUCAUGUUUUGCAUAGUGUCUCUCUGACACAAUAUUGAUUGCAAAAUGUAUUGAGUAUUUUGAUUUGUAAUGUCAUUUCACUUGUGGUAAAAAAAGCUAAUAUCACAGAAUUCAAUUGAGCACUGCUGUAUUUCUAUCGUGCCAGCCAAUGCUUUCCAUAGUUUAUGCAUUUUUGCUCCUAUCUUCUCUACAUGUACAUCCUAAUCUUUUGUCAAGUUGCUUGAUACAUAAUAGGAGCUGAUGUAGCUGGAGGUAGAGGUUUCUAUCUCAAAGGAGAUGGUGUUCGUCUUAAUCAAGCUCUAAUAAACUUUGGGCUUGAUUUUUUGGAAAAAAGGGAGUAUACUUUAUUGCAUACUCCUUUCUUCAUGAGAAAAGAUAUAAUGUCAAAGUGUGCUCAACUAGCCCAAUUUGAUGAAGAACUUUAUAAGGUAAAAUUGUGAAGUAGAUUCCAUUAUCUGCCUGUCCUCAUAUACAAUUUGCGAUUUUUAAGACCUUGAUGAUGCUUUUGUAUGUAUUUGUAUUUAAAUUUAUAUUCUUAUGACAAAUAAAUAUAUGCAUAUGUGUUUUUGCUGACUAAUAUCCAUAAUCUUUUAGUGCAUAACUAGCAACAGCCUUUUUGUGUUGGUAUCAUUUAAAGUUAUUAGUGCAUUGGUUGGUGUUUGGUUUGUUUUCUUCUUUCCAUUUCAGUUGAAAUGUUUUAAUUUAUAACAACAAAAAUGCCACCUUGUUUUUAUUCUAUUUUCAUAUUAAUAGUUUUUUUGAAGAAAAAUGGAGAAAACAAGACCAUUUUCUCCAUAAAACAUUGAAAACAAAGCUCAGUAAAAAGUAUGCAGUGUUUUUGUAAUUGUUAUUAUGAUAGGUAAAUAAUAAUAGACGACAAAACCAAUACCACCUUAACCAUUUUCUGGUUUAUCUAAGAAGUUAUUAUGCUAGGUAACUGGUGAAGGAGAUGACAAAUAUCUGAUUGCAACAGCUGAGCAGCCACUCUGUGCAUAUCAUUUAGAUGAUUGGAUCCACCCUACCCAGCUACCAUUAAGGUAAUAUGAUUUUUUUUUGUCACCUGUUAACAUUGGAGCUUGGAAGACUAUGUUGCCAUUAACUUUGGAAAUAUGUUUUCUGCAGAUAUGCUGGAUAUUCAUCAUGCUUUCGUAAAGAAGCUGGAUCUCAUGGUCGAGACACUCUAGGAAUAUUCCGAGUCCACCAAUUUGAGAAAGUGGAGCAGUUUUGCCUCACUAGCCCAAAUGACAAUGAUUCAUGGGACAUGCAUGAGGAAAUGCUGAAGAACUCUGAAGAUUUCUACAAAGCGGUAUGAUACAGCCACAGUGCCCCUCAUUAAGCGACUAAUGUUUAAGGCCACUCUGGAUGAGUUUAAAUUUCAAAUAAAUAAUAAAUAUAAAUAAAUAAUAUACAAUUUAGAAACAGUUACUGAAUCCCAGGGUACUAAUAAUUAUUGGGGAUAAUCAUGUGUUCUUUGACAUGCCGAACAUAUCUAACUAUGGGAAAGUUUAGUGCUUCCCUUUUUUUUCUUUAUAAAUUUUUUAUAUCUACACUUCAUUGUACUUGUGAUGUCUUAAAGAUACCACAUUCUAUUUUUGGUGGAUAUCAUUGCGUUUAGAUUGAUGUAUUGGUUGGUCUAACCUAAAUUGACAUCUUUCUUUUCCCAAGUUUAUUUGUUUCUCGUGUGAUUAAAUUUUAUUUACUGCAGUUAAACCUUCCCUAUCAAGUUGUUUCCAUUGUAUCUGGUGCUUUGAAUGAUGCUGCAGCAAAGAAGUAUGAUCUAGAAGCAUGGUUUCCAGCCUCUCAAGCUUACAGAGAGCUAGUGUCCUGUUCAAACUGUACAGACUAUCAGGCCAGAAGAUUAGAAAUUCGAUAUGGUCAGAAAAAGGUUAGUAAUGCCUAAUUUCAUCAUGUUGAUGGCUUCAAUAAGCAUUAUUCUUAACUUAAUGAAAAUUUUUAUUUCCAUCUUUAAAAAUGAAACCUUGCCUCAUGUAAAAAUCUCUUAAUCUGCAUUUAUGAAAUCCAUUCUGUUUUGAAAUUUCUAAUUUUUUACCUUUUUCACGAGUUUAGUCUUUCAUUGAAAUUUUAGUAGGAAGACAAGUAAAUUUAUGUUUUGAGAAUAAUCACAAGUGAUGGUGGGGCUUACUUGUGUUAAGAGCCUAAGAUGUUCCAUAAUUAAACUUUUAAUAGCUCAAAGUGUGUUGUUGGGAUUUUGCCGUGAGUAAUAUUUUAUUCUGGCUUCAACUAACUUUGCAUGUUUUUUAACUUUCACAGAGCAAUGAGCAAAUGAAGCAAUAUGUUCACUUGUUGAACUCUACUCUAACGGCUACUGAGAGGACCAUUUGCUGCAUACUAGAGAACAACCAGAAGGAAGAUGGGGUAGAGAUACCAGAAGCCCUCAGGCCAUUCAUGGGUGGAAAGACUUUCCUACCUUUCAAGAACCAACCAUCUAAUGAAGCCAAAGGGAAGAAAUCGAAGGCCUAAUUGCAUUUUAAGUCAGUGAUAUUUAUGAAGAGUUUGUUCAGAGUUGUAGGUUAUGAUGACCCCGAUAUUAUCCACCACACACUGUUUCCCUUUCUCACUAAAUAGUAAAAUGAUUUUUAGGAGCACGCACCAUUUUUGGUCAAAGUACACAGCAUGACAUUUUCUGUAAUUCAUUACUCUAAAAAAUUUGUGCUUUUUUAAUUGCAUUUUGGUGCUUUUAUCCAUUGCGAAAUGAUUAACAAUAUAGAUCAGAUGUCCUAGUUUUGCUUGAAAGGAUGAAACACGUCAAGAUGUUUUAUUUUUGUUGCUUACUAAAGUCUGGUUAUUUUGAAUAGAGCUUAUUUGGUUGGAUAUAAAUAUUUUUUUUCCUUCCUAGGGGUUACGGGAAUAAUUUGAUCACCAUAGCAGAAUCCCGUGAAAUAUGAAUUGCUUGUUCAAUUUGAGAGCAAUACAAGUGCAAGGAAAUUCUGGGAUAUGGGAUUAGAAUUCUGAAGUCUGUAUUGGUUUGUCUUGCAGGGCAUUGAAACACGUUCAAUUUAAUCGAGCUGCUCAUAUGCUAAAUUCAAUUACGAAUUUCAUUGGAAAGGGGAAUGCGUUCUGGAAAAUAGGAACUAGAGUAUUCAACCAAGUUUUGUAGUGGCUGUGGGGGUUUCUAUUGCAAGCCAAUCUUCUGGCUGAUUCCUUACAGGGCCCCUUACAGUGUUAGGUUUUACGCUGUGGGUUGACUUGCAUGUUUCUGAAUCUCUAUUAUUAUCAUUGUUCGACGGUCAUAGCAAAUAUUUUAAGAAUUUUUUUUUUCAGAACUUCCUAUGGUUCUUUUUUUAAUUCAUGUGUACCCUUUCGCUCUGAUCUUUGAUAUCCACGGCAUUUCGAACUUCCAAUCACUAAUGAGCUUUUUUCUCUAAUCAACUGAAUUCUAUUUUUUAAAAAGCGUUCAAUUGUUAAGGUCAUGUUAUGUAAAUCUAACAGCGCACACAGUCUUCUGAAGAAGUGGGGAGCCUGAGGAG
rnacentral:lncRNA from 1 species